GCCAGUGUGGUGAAAUUGGUAUACACGACGGAUUCAAAAUCCGUUGCUUCGCGGCGUCCCGGUUCGAGUCCGGGCACUGGUACCA
rnacentral:tRNA from 3 species